GAUGAACGCUGGCGGCGUGCCUAAUACAUGCAAGUCGAGCGAACGGACGAGGAGCUUGCUCCUCUGACGUUAGCGGCGGACGGGUGAGUAACACGUGGAUAACCUACCUAUAAGACUGGGAUAACUUCGGGAAACCGGAGCUAAUACCGGAUAAUAUAUUGAACCGCAUGGUUCAAUAGUGAAAGACGGUUUUGCUGUCACUUAUAGAUGGAUCCGCGCCGCAUUAGCUAGUUGGUAAGGUAACGGCUUACCAAGGCAACGAUGCAUAGCCGACCUGAGAGGGUGAUCGGCCACACUGGAACUGAGACACGGUCCAGACUCCUACGGGAGGCAGCAGUAGGGAAUCUUCCGCAAUGGGCGAAAGCCUGACGGAGCAACGCCGCGUGAGUGAUGAAGGUCUUCGGAUCGUAAAACUCUGUUAUUAGGGAAGAACAUAUGUGUAAGUAACUAUGCACGUCUUGACGGUACCUAAUCAGAAAGCCACGGCUAACUACGUG
rnacentral:rRNA from 1 species